rnacentral:misc_RNA from 1 species
CACCGCCACCGCCAGGGGAUAUUUCCUGGCCGAUGGCUAUCUUCUGGAGGAUGCGACCUCACAGUGUCUCUACCUCCCUCCCAUGCUUCCCAUGGCCACCGUGCCCCUGGUGUUUUCCUGGCCGCGCCCUCUUCCUCCUCGGCGCAGCUCUUUCUCUCUCUGUUACUCAGCUCCCCACGCGCGCCUGCAUCCCUGCUCGGAUUUUGUUCGUGCCGAGCUCAAUUUCUGGCCAUGCACGGGCGCAGCCGGAAGGCGCUGGUGGCCGUGGCCGCGAUGGUUGGGGGCCGGCCGUCGUGUGCCCCUGCAGCGCACCCUCGUCUUCUCCCCAGCGUCCGGCUGCAGCCCAGCUCGGAGUUUCCUCCGUCCAUCUCCAGCUCGUCGAAUCCCCUCUGCUCACACAUGGCGCUCAGAUCUUCAUCGGCCAUGGCGCCUCGUCCUCGCCUCCUCCGGUUCCUCGCUCCAUGGCGCUCGGCUGCUUCUACUCCCUCCCCUGUUCGCCCAUGGAAGCCGCGCCCUUGCCGAGAUUCUCCCUGCGUCGCGUUCCGAGCUCCCGUGCUCGCGCGCAGCCCCAUGCGUCGGCUCCAGCUCAGCCACCGGCCCACGUUUUCCCCCAACCCUGGCGUGCAUCGCCAUCCCUCGUCAGCAUGGAGAUCCUCUUGUGGCUGCUCCACCUCGACCAAGGACGCAGCGUCUGCAUGACCCUCGGUUCUUGCGUGCCUUGGAUUUGUGGCGCCCCUGCCUCUGCUCCAUUUUUCCCCUGCUCGCUGCAAACAGCCGAGCAGCUCGGCGCGAAGCUCCCUCGUGUACGCACCCAGCCGGAGUCCCUUCCACCCGUGCAGCUCCCUGUUGCGUCACUCGCCGGUGACGGUAGGGCUGACCGUUGGCAGCUCUCCAUCCUUUGGUUGUGCUCGCUGCUGGCCCUGUGGAGAGCUCCUUGCUUCAUCCUCGCCAUGGACACCAUCCUGCACGCGCACGCCGGUUGCUGUCACUUGUGUCAGUUUGCCAAACUUGUAGCUCUAUAUAUGUCGGCGUUUCGAGACCGGGGUCACUAGACCGACGAGUGAAAUGUCGCCGCGUGCCCCAGUCUAGAUUGGUCGGCACGAGACGGAGCGCGAAGGGGGAAGGAGACGGGCGUGAGAGGUGGAAAUCCCGCGGCCUUCGUGUUUGUCCCGCGCCCAGGUUGGGUGCGCUUGCAGUAGGGGGUUACAAGCGUCCACGCGGGAGGGAGUGAGCGGCCUCACGCGAGCGCCUGCCCCGUCCUCUUCCCCGCGCGGCCAACCCUCUGUAAGAGGGCCCUGGUCCUUCCUUUUAUAGGCGUAAGGAGAGGAUCCAGAUGUACAAAGGGGAGUGUAGCAGAGUGCUAACGUGUCUAGCGGAGGAGAGCUAGCGCCCUAAGUACAUGCUAUCGUGGCAGCCGGAGAGGCUUUGGCACCCGGUUCGUGUGGUGUCGUGGCCGUCGGAGGAGCGCUGGAGCCUGUCGGGGCUGUCGAGUCCUUGCUGACGUCCUCUUGCUUCCGUAAGGGGGCUGAGAGCCGCCGUCGUCAUAGAGCGUGCGGGGCGCCAUCAUUACUGUCACACCCGGAUUUCGGGGCACCAAGACCCGGGCGCGAACAAUCACCAGGUGUGCUGGGACCAAGUCUCACACAUAUGAUGUAUAGUGGCACAGGAUCGAAUGUCACAUCAUUAUAUAUAACAGGAGUUCUAUACAAAAUAAAUAAUUACAUUAUAAGGAGACAACGGUCCAGCAACCCAAAGUUGACUGGGAGACGACGGCCUAGACCACUCACGAACUCAUCACAGCAUCCUUCAUGCGCCUCAUCCUGUGGUACCUGUUCUUGACCUGUGGGGGGGUGUGAGAUAGCAAGACUGAGCUCACAUACGUUCAUCGCUCAACAAGUUGUGGGGAAU